CGUGUAGGCGGUUGUUUAAGUUUGGUGUGAAAUCUCCCGGCUCAACUGGGAGGGUGCGCCGAAUACUGAAUGACUCGAGUGCGGGAGAGGAGAGUGGAAUUCCUGGUGUAGCGGUGAAAUGCGUAGAUAUCAGGAGGAACACCGGUGGUGUAGACGGCUCUCUGGACCGUAACUGACGCUGAGACACGAAAGCGUGGGUAGCAAACAGGAUUAGAUACCCUGGUAGUCCACGCCCUAAACGAUGCAUAUUUGGUGUGGGCCGUUCAGUCGGUCCGUGCCGGAGCUAACGCGUUAAAUAUGCCGCCUGGGGAGUACAGUCGCAAGGCUGAA
rnacentral:rRNA from 1 species